CAGUAGGGAGGAAGGUAGUGUAGUUAACACCUGCAUUAUUUGACGUUACCUACAGAAGAAGCACCGGCUAACUCCGUGCCAGCAGCCGCGGUAAUACGGAGGGUGCGAGCGUUAAUCGGAAUUACUGGGCGUAAAGCGCAUGCAGGCGGCCUGUUAAGUCAGAUGUGAAAGACCCGGGGCGUUAACCUCGGAAUUGCAUUUGAAACUAGGCAGGCUAGAGUCUUGUAGAGGGGGGUAGGAAUUUCAGGUGUAGCGGUGAAAUGCGUAGAGAUCUGAAGGAAUACCAGUGGCGAAGGCGGCCCCCUCGGACAAAGACUGACGCUCAGAUGCGAAAGCGUGGGGAGCAAACAGGAUUAGAUACCCUGGUAG
rnacentral:rRNA from 1 species